rnacentral:tRNA from 1 species
GGUAAGAUGGCUGAAUUUAUAGGUGGUAGACUGUAAAUCUACUUAUGAGAAUUAAUCUCUCUUACCA